CCCAAGCCUAAACUCCUUCCGACCCAGCCCAUUCCCUUAUAUUUCCCCCUUCAGCAUAACAACACCAACCCUCAACAGACGCGACAACACCGCACAAACCUAAACCCGCCGACCUAUUUUCAACACGAACCAACCUCACCUGCGACCCUAAACCCGAUUCUCAUAACCAACAACCCGUAACCAACUCGUUUGUAGCCUCCUUAACGCAUCCCACGCAAGUUUAUGCGAAGAAAGCCCUCGAAUCUUCUAGAAAUAAGUUGAGGUGUCCUCUCAACGUAUCAAAUCCGCGAAUCUCGAGUAUGGGAGUACGAUUUCGUACAUGUAUGUCACAAUUUUAUUGGAUCAUGGUGAAAAUCCGUUUUGCCUAAAUCUUAUUAGUCUACCGAUUUAGAAAUCGGUACAAUUUGUUGGGGGAACCCCAUUGGGAGUUAAAAAAUUUUGAAUUCUCUUUGGAAAAGGAAUCCCUAGCUUACCCUCAAUUGGCUUCUAUAUAAAGAGCUCAAUGUUGAGCUAAAAAAGGGGAUUUUUUCGGCUUCUUCCUUUUUGGAUUCGGGGAAAAUUGGGGGAUUUUCUCUUUUUUCCAGGAUGGGGGUUCUGGGGUUCAAAUUUUUGGAUGGUCUUUUGAGGGUUUGAAAUUGGGAAGGAUUUUUUUUUUGGGGACUGGCCUCUCCUUUUUGGGUCCAAAAUCUUGGAAGCAAAGGGAUUCGAAAGUCGAGGGUGUUGAGAAAAUUUGGAUUGGGGGAGUUCUUAGAAAAACUUGGUCUAAGGAGGGGGGGAAAAGUGAGCCAUUCUGAGCAAAAUCGAUAAAUCCUUUCAUUUUAGUAAAAGUUUGAAGCUCGUCGGAAUUGUUCGAAGUAGCUGCUAGGCCUUUUUCCGGCGGAGAUGGAUCCGGUGAUAGCUCGAGUCCUGUUUUGCUGCUCCCUAAAAGGCUGCUUGUAUGUUGUUAUGGUUGGCUUCAGGGUUUAAAGUUGCAUGCUUUCAUCGUUUUGGGUCGAUGGCGCCCUGUUCUAGCUUGUCUUAUUUUAAAGUUUCGUGUUUUGUUCUUGUUUUAAUAGUUUUCGGACCGAGGGUGUUUUGUUCAUUGUUGGUAUUUCACGUCGUCUUGUUUAUCGAGACUUCCCCAUGAGUUCCUUGGCUUCCCAAAUGACAAAGAAUGAUGAGGAUACGCUCGACAAAAACUGACAAAUCCCAUGAUUCCUCGAUGACUAUUUCGGCUAUUAGAACUCGUUUGAGUUUGACAAAAGAGGAUGAGGAUGAUAGUAGUGCCCCACCACUUUCCCUUUAGCUUUAUCUGCCAUGUCUUUUUUUGUGUGGAUUCAAAUCUUUUAUCCUUCCUUGUCUCUUGAGCUUAUUGCCAGUUCGUGAUCGGGUUAGGGAGAUGAAUGCAAUAAUGAGGUAUCUUAAUAUGUUUAUUUAGAAGGAAUGACCUUUUUUUGUUCUCGUCGUGGAAAUGGAGCGUCACUGUUGUAUGUCUCUUUGAAUACCUACUGUCAAUGGAACUUGGAUUUAUAGGUCAA